rnacentral:tRNA from 1 species
GCGUCGGUUGUUCAGUGGUAGAAUACUCGCCUGCCACGCGGGUGACCCGGGUUCGAUUCCCGGCCGACGCA